GUGUCAGCAGCCGCGGUAAUACGGGGGGAGCAAGCGUUGUUCGGAUUUACUGGGCGUAAAGGGCGCGUAGGCGGUCAGCACAAGUCAGUUGUGAAAUCUCCGGGCUUAACCCGGAACGGUCAACUGAUACUGUGCGACUAGAGUGCGGAAGGGGCAACUGGAAUUCUCGGUGUAGCGGUGAAAUGCGUAGAUAUCGAGAGGAACACCUGCGGCGAAGGCGGGUUGCUGGGCCGACACUGACGCUGAUGCGCGAAAGCCAGGGGAGCGAACGGGAUUAGAUACCCUGGUAGUCC
rnacentral:rRNA from 1 species